UGGUGGAGUGAUUUGUCUGCUUAAUUGCGAUAACGAACGAGACCUUGACCUGCUAAAUAGCCCGGUUGACUUUUGUCGGCCGCCGGCUUCUUAGAGGGACUUUUGGCUCAAGCCAAUGGAAGUACGAGGCAAUAACA
rnacentral:rRNA from 1 species